UACGUAGGGACCAAGCGUUGUUCGGAUUUACUGGGCGUAAAGGGCGCGUAGGCGGCAAUUCAAGUCAUCUGUGAAAUCUCCGGGCUUAACCCGGAACGGUCAGGUGAUACUGUUUUGCUAGAGUGCGGAAGGGGCAAUCGGAAUUCUCGGUGUAGCGGUGAAAUGCGUAGAUAUCGAGAGGAACACCAGAGGUGAAGACGGGUUGCUGGGCCGACACUGACGCUGACAGCGCGAAAGCGUGGGGAGCGAACCGG
rnacentral:rRNA from 1 species